GCCUGGGUGGCUCAGUGGUUGAGCGUCUGCCUUCAGUUCAGGGCGUGAUCCUGCGGUCCUGGGAUCGAGUCCCACAUCAGGCU
rnacentral:tRNA from 1 species